rnacentral:rRNA from 1 species
GAGUUUGAUCGUGGCUCAGAUUGAACGCUGGCGGCAUGCCUUACACAUGCAAGUCGAACGGCAGCAUGAUCUAGCUCGCUAGAUUGAUGGCGAGUGGCGAACGGGUGAGUAAUACAUCGGAACGUGCCCUGUAGUGGGGGAUAACUAGUCGAAAGAUUAGCUAAUACCGCAUACGACCUGAGGGUGAAAGUGGGGGACCGCAAGGCCUCAUGCUAUAGGAGCGGCCGAUGUCUGAUUAGCUAGUUGGUGGGGUAAAGGCCCACCAAGGCGACGAUCAGUAGCUGGUCUGAGAGGACGAUCAGCCACACUGGGACUGAGACACGGCCCAGACUCCUACGGGAGGCAGCAGUGGGGAAUUUUGGACAAUGGGCGAAAGCCUGAUCCAGCAAUGCCGCGUGUGUGAAGAAGGCCUGGUGUAAG